rnacentral:lncRNA from 1 species
GGCAAUUUGCAGCGCUAGUAGCUAUAUGGUACUAAAGGGAUGCAAACAGCUGGCUAUUUCAGUGUGUUCUAUGGGUCGGAUCCCCGGAGGCUACAUUACCAACCACGUGUACAGUUGGGUGGAUCCUCAGGGCCGGAGUGUCUCCCCGCCACCCGACAGCCAAGAGGCCAACCAGAAGCAAGGACGUGGCAUGGAGGAGAGGACGCAGUCAGUUCAGGACUGGAAUAGUGUUCCUGCAGGUCAUCGUGACCUUUGGUGUUGUGACAUUUUGGAAGACAGACUCAUCCUACAACAAAGUCAACAACCACAGGCCUGUC